GCUGAUAUGGCUCAGUUGGUAGAGCGCGACCCUUGGUAACGGGUGAGGUCCCCAGUUCGACUCUGGGUAUCCAGCACCA
rnacentral:tRNA from 1 species